rnacentral:rRNA from 1 species
UACGUAGGGGGCAAGCGUUGUCCGGAUUUAUUGGGCGUAAAGAGCGUGUAGGCGGCCAGUCAGGUCCGUUGUGAAAACUCGAGGCUCAACCUCGAGACGCCGAUGGAAACCGACUGGCUAGAGUCCGGAAGGGGAGAGUGGAAUUCCCGGUGUAGCGGUGAAAUGCGCAGAUAUCGGGAAGAACACCCGUGGCGAAGGCGGCUCUCUGGGACGGUACUGACGCUGAGACGCGAAAGCGUGGGGAGCGAACAGG